rnacentral:lncRNA from 1 species
UUAAUUUCCAGGUUGAAAAAUCCGAACCAUCAAAUUUUGGAAUUUCAUAUCUAGUUGAACUUCCUCCAACCAUCUUCAAAGAUAUGUGAUCUGUCACAAACCUUAUGCCCAACAAGGAUAAAACCAAAGUUUGGCAAAAAUAAUGCCCAACAAGGAUCUUAAACAACCCUAAGGCUCUGAUACCUGAUACCAAUUGUUGUGGAUAAAACCAAGGUUUGACAAAAAUAAGAGAAAGAAAAAUAGUGCAGAAAAAUAAAAGACAGAAACUCAAAGAUUU